rnacentral:tRNA from 1 species
AGGGGCUUAGGAUAAUUUAAACCGAGAGCCUUCAAAGCCCUAAAUAAGAGCUCCACCUCUUAGCCCCUG